rnacentral:rRNA from 1 species
CAGUUCGGACUGUAGUCUGCAACCCGACUACACGAAGCUGGAAUCGCUAGUAAUCGCGAAUCAGAAUGUCGCGGUGAAUACGUUCCCGGGUCUUGUACACACCGCCCGUCACACCAUGGGAGUCGGGAAUGCCCGAAGUCAGUGACCCAACCAAAUGGAGGGAGCUGCCGAAGGCAGGUCUGAUAACUGGGGUGAAGUCGUAACAAGGUACC